rnacentral:rRNA from 1 species
CAUGCAAGUCGAACGAUGAAGCCUUUCGGGGUGGAUUAGUGGCGAACGGGUGAGUAACACGUGGGCAAUCUGCCCUUCACUCUGGGACAAGCCCUGGAAACGGGGUCUAAUACCGGAUAACACUCUUCCCUGCAUGGGGAGGGGUUAAAAGCUCCGGCGGUGAAGGAUGAGCCCGCGGCCUAUCAGCUUGUUGGUGGGGUAAUGGCCUACCAAGGCGACGACGGGUAGCCGGCCUGAGAGGGCGACCGGCCACACUGGGACUGAGACACGGCCCAGACUCCUACGGGAGGCAGCAGUGGGGAAUAUUGCACAAUGGGCGAAAGCCUGAUGCAGCGACGCCGCGUGAGGGAUGACGGCCUUCGGGUUGUAAACCUCUUUCAGCAGGGAAGAAGCGACUGGGUUUUCCCGGACGUGACGGUACCUGCAGAAGAAGCGCCGGCUAACUACGUGCCAGCAGCCGCGGUAAUACGUAGGGCGCAAGCGUUGUCCGGAAUUAUUGGGCGUAAAGAGCUCGUAGGCGGCUUGUCACGUCGGAUGUGAAAGCCCGGGGCUUAACCCCGGGUCUGCAUUCGAUACGGGCAGGCUAGAGUGUGGUAGGGGAGAUCGGAAUUCCUGGUGUAGCGGUGAAAUGCGCAGAUAUCAGGAGGAACACCGGUGGCGAAGGCGGAUCUCUGGGCCAUUACUGACGCUGAGGAGCGAAAGCGUGGGGAGCGAACAGGAUUAGAUACCCUGGUAGUCCACGCCGUAAACGUUGGGAACUAGGUGUUGGCGACAUUCCACGUCGUCGGUGCCGCAGCUAACGCAUUAAGUUCCCCGCCUGGGGAGUACGGC